rnacentral:rRNA from 1 species
GGACGAACGCUGGCGGCGUGCUUAACACCUGCACGUCGAACGGAAAGGCCCUGCUUGCAGGGUACUCGAGUGGCGAACGGGUGAGUAACACGUGGGUGAUCUGCCCUGCACUUCGGGAUAAGCCUGGGAAACUGGGUCUAAUACCGGAUAGGAGCCAUUUUUAGUGUGAUGGUUGGAAAGUUUUUUCGGUGUAGGAUGAGCUCGCGGCCUAUCAGCUUGUUGGUGGGGUAAUGGCCUACCAAGGCGGCGACGGGUAGCCGGCCUGAGAGGGUGGACGGCCACAUUGGGACUGAGAUACGGCCCAGACUCCUACGGGAGGCAGCAGUGGGGAAUAUUGCACAAUGGGCGCAAGCCUGAUGCAGCGACGCCGCGUGGGGGAUGACGGCCUUCGGGUUGUAAACUCCUUUCGCUAGGGACGAAGCUUUUUGUGACGGUACCUAGAUAAGAAGCACCGGCUAACUACGUG